UACGGCUAUAGCUUUCACGGCCUUCCAGCGUGAGAACCUUCCACAGAGCAACAAGUGUCAGAGCUCUCGGGCCCCGUGACUUUAGGAUCCUUAGCCCCUUAUAACGUCUAAUACGAUAACGCUUCCUACACUGUUAUAGCUGUUAUUAACGGUUGCUAUGACCGAGUUUUUUGACAUUUUAAGACUUGGUAGCCGUCUGGACCUUUUCUGGUGAACAGGGUCCACAGUUUCUCCUCUUCAGCUCUUCACAGCUUCAUUGUCUUUGUUGUGUCUCCUUCUAGCCCCGGAAGCUCGCUGCAGCUUCCCAGGUAUUCUCUCACUGUUUCUCUUGUCACUGACGCUGCUACUUCCGCUUCAUCGCCACGGUCGCACUGCCGUUUCCACCUGUGUUAUCUAUCAGUUUAAGCUCAUCUAGUGAGGAGGAAAGUAAAAAGUAGACAAGAAAAGGUCACUCAAGAGGAGGGCAUCUCUCAGCUGGCUUACAAAGGAGUCAAACCUCUUUUUUAUACAGCUAGGAAGAGGAUGCACCAAUGAUGGCAGGCUUCCAUGGGAAUGAAUUGUACCAAUCCCAGGCCUUUUGCUGGAAGCAUCCCUGGGUGAAAAUAUUUGCAGAGUAAGAGUCACUUUUUAAUACACUGACACUUGCAACGCCAAAAAUCAAGUGUGUGCUACUUGAAAUAGUCAUGCCUUGAACAGUGCCUUUUAGAAGCCAGAUCAGGGUUUCAGUGGCAGGCAGCUAUGGUUGCCGUGUAGCUUCUUCAAAGCUUCUGUAGCAUGUCCAAGUUAGCCAAUGCAGGCACAAGUAGUCUAGCUGCUGAUACAUCUAUCAGUGCAGCAAGGGCACCAAGAGCUAAGAGCUGUCCGGAAGGAUACAUCUUGUGGCUUUUGUUUUUUGCUUAAAAAGAAAACAAAAAUGAAACAUUGUGAAAUUGAAGAAUUCCUAAGAAUUAUGCUUCCAGCUGCUAAAACCAAGACACUUCAUGCUUUCUCGGAUCCGUGGGACAUGGAGCGUAGGCCUGGAUAAUCUAAGCUGUAUGAAUUUCUGGAAGAGACAACCGAGUACCAGAAGGCUAGUGAGCAUCUCUACCAUGGAGUGCCACCUUGAGAUGCUUAAAGUUUAGGAACAUUAUUGCCAAGUCCUAUAAUCCUUAGAACCUAGCCUAGCAGGGAAGAGAACAUGGAAGAAUGGAUUGCCGUUGCUGGGGAGAGUUUCUAUCAUGCAACUCACUUUUCCUGCUUGAACUAGCCUACAUUAUGGGCAAAUUGCAAUGAAAGGUCAUACGGUUUCACCUUUCUAAUCAAGGUGAGAAGAUGGCAUUUCAGUAUCCAUGAAGAGCAGUGAUUGGGAGGCUGCUGAGUGUGCAGUAGGUACCCCAAAGAGACACUCUGAUGAUGCCGCCUUUGCAUAGCAGUCAUAGUGAAACACAGCAAAUAAAAGA